rnacentral:rRNA from 1 species
UACGAAGGGGGCUAGCGUUGCUCGGAAUCACUGGGCGUAAAGGGUGCGUAGGCGGGUCUUUAAGUCAGGGGUGAAAUCCCGUGGAGCUCAACUCCAGAACUGCCUUUGAUACUGAGGAUCUUGAGUUCGGGAGAGGUGAGUGGAACUGCGAGUGUAGAGGUGAAAUCGUAGAUAUUCGCAAGAACACCAGUGGCGAAGGCGGCUCACUGGCCCGAUACUGACGCUGAGGCACGAAAGCGUGGGGAGCAAACAGG